rnacentral:rRNA from 1 species
UACGAAGGGGGGCUAGCGUUGCUCGGAAUCACUGGGCGUAAAGCGCACGUAGGCGGAUCUUUAAGUCAGGGGUGAAAUCCUGGAGCUCAACUCCAGAACUGCCUUUGAUACUGGGGAUCUCGAGUCCGGAAGAGGUGAGUGGAACUCCGAGUGUAGAGGUGAAAUUCGUAGAUAUUCGGAAGAACACCAGUGGCGAAGGCGGCUCACUGGUCCGGUACUAACGCUGAGGUGCGAAAGCGUGGGGAGCAAACAGG